UGGGAAAGCACUCGGGGUAUCAUGGCAGCUGCGCUCGAAAAAGAUGACUAGAUAUCGGGAGAGGGAGAGUGGAAUUACUCAGUGUAGAGGUGAAAUUCGUAGAUAUUGAGAAGCACACCCGCGGGGGGAGGGCGACUCUCUAGACCGAUCCUGACGGUGAGGCGGGAAAGCGUGGGGAGCAAGCAGGCUGAGUUACCUUGGUAGUUCAUGCUGUCAAUGAUGUAUCAUAGACGUGGGGGACACUAGCUCUUGGGUGUCGCAGCUAACGCGGUAAGCACUCCGCCUGGGGAGUACGGCGGCAACAUUAAAACUCAAAGGAAGAACGGGGGGCCGCACAACAAGCGAGCAUGUGGUUUAAUUAGACGCAACGCGAAGAACCUUACCAGCCCUUGACAUGUCCCGUAUGGGCCGGAGAGAUCCGGUCCUUCAGUUGCAAGGCGGGAACACAGGGCUGCAUGGCUGUCGUCAGCUCGUGUCGUGAGAUGUUGGGUUAAGUCCCGCAACGAGCGCAACCCCCAUCUUCAGUU
rnacentral:rRNA from 1 species